rnacentral:rRNA from 1 species
UUUAUAAAAAUAAAAUAUAUUUAAUAAUUAUAUUUAAUUAUUAUUUUAUUUAUAAAAAAAGAAAUUUUAUUUUUUUUUGUUUUAGUAAAUUUUAAAAUAAAUUUUUAAUUUGUUUAAUAGUAUUGUGAAAGAAAUUUUAAUUUUUAAAAAAUAAAAAAUUAUUUUUGUACCUUUUGUAUCAGGGUUAAUUAAUUUAUGUAUAUAAAUAUAUAAUUCUCGAAGUAAAAUGAGCUAAAUAUUUAUAAUAGUUUAUGUUGAAUAAUAAUUAUAAAUAAAUAAUUUAGUAGUGAAAUGUUAUACAUAUUUUAGAUAUCUAGUUAUUUUAAAAUUGAAUUUAAUUCAUAUAUUUAAUAAUUAUUUUAUUAUAUUAAUAUAUAUAUAUAUUUAUUUAUUAUAAUUUAUUUAAAUAUUAAAAAUUUAUGGGAUAAUCUAUAAUUUUUUUUUAUAAUUAAAAAUUUAAAAUUACAAUAUUUAUAAACAUAAAAUUUGUUAUUAAUAAAAAAAAUUUUAUAAUUUAUUUAAUUUAAUAAUUUUUAAAUAAUUUUAAUAUAAUUUUAAUUUAUAAAAUAAUAAUUAUAAAUAAUUUAUAAUUAAAUAUAAUGAUUAAAUUAGUAAUAAUUAAAUUUAAAUUAUUUAAUAUAUAUAUAUAUAUAUAUUUAAAUAACUUGGCAAUAAUUAUAUUCAAAUGUUUAUCAAAAACAUUUCUUUUUGAUUAAUAAUUUAAGGUUUAUUCUACUCAAUGAAUUUAGUUUUAAAUAGUUGCAGUAUUCCUGACUGUACAAAGGUAGCAUAAUGAUUUGGCUCUUAAUUGGAGUCUGGUAUGAAAGAAUUAAUGAAAUAUAAACUGUUUCAAAUAUAAAAUAUGAAAUUAAAUUUUAAGUAAAAAUGCUUAAAUUUAAUUAAGGGACGAGAAGACCCUAUAGAAUUUUAUAAUAUAAUUUUAUAUUUUUAUUUAAAAAUUUUUAAUAGAUUUAUAAAAUUAAUUAUUUUAUUGGGAGGAUAAUUAAAUUUAAAUAACUUUAAUAUUUAAAAUCAAUAAUUUUUGUAAAUUAAAUGAUAUAUUAUUUAUAAUUAUUAGAUAAAAUUACCUUAGGGAUAACAGCAUAAUAUUUUUGGAAAGAUCAAAUUGAUAAAGAUGAUUAUGACCUCGAUGUUGAAUUAAAAUUAAAUUUAAAUGCAGUAGUUUAAAUAUUAAGUCUGUUCGACUUUUUAAAUUUUACAUGAUUUGAGUUCAGAUCGGUGUAAACCAGAUCAGUUUCUAUCUUUAAUUAAGUUUAAUAUUUUUGUACGAAAGGACUAAAUUUUAAUAAAUUUUAUUUAAUUAAUAUAUAUAUAUA